UACGGAAGGCAGCAGUGGGGAAUAUUGCACAAUGGGCGCAAGCCUGAUGCAGCCAUGCCGCGUGUAUGAAGAAGGCCUUCGGGUUGUAAAGUACUUUCAGUCGUGAGGAAGGUGUUAAGGUUAAUAACCUUAGCAAUUGACGUUAGCGACAGAAGAAGCACCGGCUAACUCCGUGCCAGCAGCCGCGGUAAUACGGAGGGUGCGAGCGUUAAUCGGAAUUACUGGGCGUAAAGGGCACGCAGGCGGUUAAUUAAGUUGGAUGUGAAAUCCCCGGGCUUAACCUGGGAAUGGCAUUCAAGACUGGUUAGCUAGAGUCUUGUAGAGGGGGUAGAAUUCCAUGUGUAGCGGUGAAAUGCGUAGAGAUGUGGAGGAAUACCGGUGGCGAAGGCGGCCCCCUGGACGAAAGAACUGACGCUCAUGUGCGAAAGCGUGGGGAGGCAAACAAGGGAUUAGUA
rnacentral:rRNA from 1 species